UGCCUACGGGAGGCAGCAGUCGGGAAUAUUGCGCAAUGGAGGAAACUCUGACGCAGUGACGCCGCGUAUAGGAAGAAGGUUUUCGGAUUGUAAACUAUUGUCGUGAGGGAAGAAAUUGACAGUACCUCAGGAGGAAGCUCCGGCUAACUAUGUGCCAGCAGCCGCGGUAAUACGUAGGGGGCGAGCGUUGUCCGGAAUUACUGGGCGUAAAGAGAGCGUAGGCGGCACUACAAGUCUCAUGUGAAAUACCCGGGCUUAACUUGGGGGUUGCAUGGGAAACUGUAGAGCUUGAGUACAGGAGAGGC
rnacentral:rRNA from 1 species